rnacentral:rRNA from 1 species
AUUCCAGCUCCAAUAGCGUAUAUUAAUGUUGUUGCAGUUAAAAAGCUCGUAGUUGGAUUUCUGGUCGGAACGCCGGUCCGGCUCCGCAAGGGGUCGUGUAUUGGUUUCUCCUGCCAUCCUCAGGGGGAGCUGCACUGGUAUUCAUUUAUCGGCGUGGUUACGCCUGUCGUUUACUGUGAACAAAUUAGAGUGUUCAAAGCAAGGUGUACUUGAAUACAUUAGCAUGGAAUAAUAAGAUAGGACUUUGGUGGUUCUUUUUGAUAUUUUGUUGGUUUGCACGCCAAAGUAAUGAUUAAUAGGAGCAGUUGGGGGUAUUCGUAUUCAAUUGUCAGAGGUGAAAUUCUUGGAUUUAUAGAAGACGAACUACUGCGAAAGCAUUUACCAAGGAUGUUUUCAUUA